CCUACGGGUGGCAGCAGUGAGGAAUAUUGGUCAAUGGACGCAAGUCUGAACCAGCCAUGCCGCGUGCAGGAAGACGGCUCUAUGAGUUGUAAACUGCUUUUGUAAGAGGGUAAACGCAGAUACGCGUAUCUGUCUGAAAGUAUCGUACGAAUAAGGAUCGGCUAACUCCGUGCCAGCAGCCGCGGUAAUACGGAGGAUUCAAGCGUUAUCCGGAUUUAUUGGGUUUAAAGGGUGCGUAGGCGGUCGGAUAAGUUAGAGGUGAAAUCCCGAGGCUCAACUUCGGAAUUGCCUUUGAUACUGUUCGGCUAGAGAGUAGUUGCGGUAGGCGGAAUGUAUGGUGUAGCGGUGAAAUGCUUAGAGAUCAUACAGAACACCGAUUGCGAAGGCAGCUUACCAAGCUACUUCUGACGUUGAGGCACGAAAGCGUGGGUAGCAAACAGGAUUAGAUACCCUAGUAGUC
rnacentral:rRNA from 1 species